AUCGAACGCUGGCGGCAGGCCUAACACAUGCAAGUCGAGCGGCAGCGGGAAAGUAGCUUGCUACUUUUGCCGGCGAGCGGCGGACGGGUGAGUAAUGCCUGGGGAUCUGCCCAGUCGAGGGGGAUAACUACUGGAAACGGUAGCUAAUACCGCAUACGCCCUACGGGGGAAAGCAGGGGACCUUCGGGCCUUGCGCGAUUGGAUGAACCCAGGUGGGAUUAGCUAGUUGGUGAGGUAACGGCUCACCAAGGCGACGAUCCCUAGCUGGUCUGAGAGGAUGAUCAGCCACACUGGAACUGAGACACGGUCCAGACUCCUACGGGAGGCAGCAGUGGGGAAUAUUGCACAAUGGGGGAAACCCUGAUGCAGCCAUGCCGCGUGUGUGAAGAAGGCCUUCGGGUUGUAAAGCACUUUCAGCGAGGAGGAAAGGUUGGUAGCUAAUAACUGCCAGCUGUGACGUUACUCGCAGAAGAAGCACCGGCUAACUCCGUGCCAGCCGCCGCCGUAAAAC
rnacentral:rRNA from 1 species